UACGAAGGGUGCAAGCGUUACUCGGAAUUACUGGGCGUAAAGCGUGCGUAGGUGGUUUGUUAAGUCUGCUGUGAAAGCCCCCGGGCUCAACCUGGGAAUGGCAGUGGAUACUGGCAAGCUAGAGUGCGGUAGAGGGGGUGUGGAAUUUCCCGGUGUAGCGGGUGAAAAUGCGUAGAGAUCGGGAGGAACACCAGUGGGCGAAAGG
rnacentral:rRNA from 1 species